UUCAGCUCUUCUUGUAUCUUCAGUGUCUGGCCGAUCUCUUCAUUUACAGGGGCCUGGAAAUACGUG
rfam:Oryctolagus cuniculus chromosome 12, whole genome shotgun sequence.